CCUACGGGUGGCAGCAGUGAGGAAUAUUGGUCAAUGGACGAGAGUCUGAACCAGCCAAGUAGCGUGAAGGAUGACUGCCCUAUGGGUUGUAAACUUCUUUUAUAUGGGAAUAAAAUGUUCCACGUGUGGGAUUUUGUAUGUACCAUAUGAAUAAGGAUCGGCUAACUCCGUGCCAGCAGCCGCGGUAAUACGGAGGAUCCGAGCGUUAUCCGGAUUUAUUGGGUUUAAAGGGAGCGUAGGUGGAUUGUUAAGUCAGUUGUGAAAGUUUGCGGCUCAACCGUAAAAUUGCAGUUGAAACUGGCAGUCUUGAGUACAGUAGAGGUGGGCGGAAUUCGUGGUGUAGAGGUGAAAUGCUUAGAUAUCACGAAGAACUCCGAUUGCGAAGGCAGUUCACUGGACUGCAACUGACACUGAGGCUCGAAAGUGUGGGUAUCAAACAGGAUUAGAUACCCGAGUAGUC
rnacentral:rRNA from 1 species